rnacentral:rRNA from 1 species
CCUACGGGAGGCAGCAGUAGGGAAUUUUCGUCAAUGGGCGCAAGCCUGAACGAGCGAUGCCGCGUGAGUGAAGAAGGCCUUCGGGUCGUAAAGCUCUGUUGCGGGGGAAAAAAGGCAGCAUCAGGAAAUGGGUGCUGACUGAUGGUGCCCCGCCAGAAAGUCACGGCUAACUACGUGCCAGCAGCCGCGGUAAUACGUAGGUGGCGAGCGUUAUCCGGAAGGAUUGGGCGUAAAGGGUGCGCAGGCGGGCCUGCAAGUCUGGAGUGAAACGCAUGAGCUCAACUCAUGCAUGGCUUUGGAAACUGGAGGACUGGAGAGCAGGAGAGGGCGGUGGAACUCCAUGUGUAGCGGUAAAAUGCGUAGAUAUAUGGAAGAACACCAGUGGCGAAGGCGGCCGCCUGGCCUGUUGCUGACGCUGAGGCACGAAAGCGUGGGGAGCAAAUAGGAUUAGAUACCCCAGUAGUC